GAGUUUGAUCAUGGCUCAGAUUGAACGCUGGCGGCAGGCCUAACACAUGCAAGUCGAGCGGUAGAGAGAAGCUUGCUUCUCUUGAGAGCGGCGGACGGGUGAGUAAUGCCUAGGAAUCUGCCUGGUAGUGGGGGAUAACGUUCGGAAACGGACGCUAAUACCGCAUACGUCCUACGGGAGAAAGCAGGGGACCUUCGGGCCUUGCGCUAUCAGAUGAGCCUAGGUCGGAUUAGCUAGUUGGUGGGGUAAUGGCUCACCGAGGCGACGAUCCGUAACUGGUCUGAGAGGAUGAUCAGUCACACUGGAACUGAGACACGGUCCAGACUCCUACGGGAGGCAGCAGUGGGGAAUAUUGGACAAUGGGCGAAAGCCUGAUCCAGCCAUGCCGCGUGUGUGAAGAAGGUCUUCGGAUUGUAAAGCACUUUAAGUUGGGAGGAAGGGCAGUAAAUUAAUACUUUGCUGUUUUGACGUUACCGACAGAAUAAGCACCGGCUAACUCUGUGCCAGCAGCCGCGGUAAUACAGAGGGUGCAAGCGUUAAUCGGAAUUACUGGGCGUAAAGCGCGCGUAGGUGGUUCGUUAAGUUGGAUGUGAAAUCCCCGGGCUCAACCUGGGAACUGCAUUCAAAACUGACGAGCUAGAGUAUGGUAGAGGGUGGUGGAAUUUCCUGUG
rnacentral:rRNA from 1 species